rnacentral:rRNA from 1 species
CCCUUAGAUGUUCUGGGCCGCACGCGCGCUACACUGAUUCAUUCAACGAGUCUAAAACCUGCUCUGAUAGGGGUGGGUAAUCUUUUGAAUGUGCAUCGUGAUUGGGAUAGAUGAUUGCAAUUUUUCAUCUUCAACGAGGAAUGCCUAGUAAACGCAAGUCAUCAGCUUGCAUUGAUUACGUCCCUGCCCUUUGUACACACCGCCCGUCGCUCCUACCGAUUGAAUGAUCCGAUGAAUAUCAUGGAUUGAGGAUGCAAGUAGGUUCGCCUAUCUUCAUCUUCGAGAAGUGAAGUAAAUCUUAUCAUUUAGAGGAAGGAGAAGUCGUAACA